UACGUAGGGUGCGAGCGUUAAUCGGAAUUACUGGGCGUAAAGCGUGCGCAGGCGGUUUUGUAAGCCAGAUGUGAAAGCCCCGGGCUCAACCUGGGAAUGGCAUUUGGGACUGCAAGGCUUGAGUGCGGCAGAGGAGACUGGAAUUCCUGGUGUAGCAGUGAAAUGCGUAGAUAUCAGGAGGAAUACCGAUGGCGAAAGGCAG
rnacentral:rRNA from 1 species